rnacentral:lncRNA from 1 species
AGUCCCUGUCCCACACGGGGCUCACGGUCUCCAUCCCCAUUUUACAGAUGAGGUCACUGAGGCCCAGAGAAGUGAAGUGACUCGGCCAAGGUCACACAGCAGACAAGUGGCGGAGCGGGGAUCAGGACCCACGACCUCCUAACUCCCAGGCCGGUGCUUCGUCCACUACGCCAUGCUGCUUCUCAGACAGCAUCUUCCCCAGGCCCAUCAUAGAAUCUUAAAUUCAGGAGGAAGUUCAAGAAGUCAUCUGAUCCAACCUCCUGCCACCAGAACAGGUGCGUGACUAAGCCAUCCAGAUUAAACGAUGCUCCGCUCCCCUUCGGAAGAUGACCCACUCUGGCCUGUCCCACUGUUUUAUCACCCUGAGAGUGAAGAAGGAAUCUGCUUUCUGUCUUCCCCCCAUGACGGUUCACUCUGGAGAGUGGUUUCGGGGGCUGGGGAAAGAGAAGAGGUCACUGCAGCUGGUCUCCCCACUGAAACUUCAUUCUUGGGGAGGUUUAGAGCUCCUGUUUUCCAGCCUGCCGGUCAUUUCUGCCCCUCUCCUCGGAAACCUCCAACCACUGGCGGUCACCCCCCGCUGACCCAUCCCAGGUCCACGUCGGCGUUUCUGCAGAUGGCUCGCACCGCUGACGCUGACUCACAUUCGGCUUGUGAUCGGCGGCUCUGCCUCUCCCCAUCCUGCACGAUUGUUUGGGUGUAUCUGGUUCCUGUGCGCAUCCUGGUCCCUGCGUGCAGCCCCCGAUCCCCUGCGUGUACUCCUGGCCCCUCCGUGCGCUCCCUGGUCCCCGUGUGA